GGGGAUGUAGCUAAGAUGGUAGAGCACUCACUUAGCAUGCGAGAGGUACGAGGAUUGAUACCCCGCAUCUCCA
rnacentral:tRNA from 1 species